UGAAAGCAAGUAGGAGAAACCUUAAAAUCAAAUUUGGCUGUUGAUCAACAAUUAUGGAUGAAAACAUUUGCACUAAGCUACAACCACUUGCCUUAUCACUUGAAACUGUGUUUUCUCUAUUUUGGAACAUUUCCAGAGGACUACGAAAUCCGUGUACAGAAGUUGAUUUGGUUAUGGAUUGCUGAGGGAUUUAUAAUAAAAACAAGUGAAAAAAGCUUGGAGGAUGUUGGAAAUGAAUACUUGAUGGAUUUAUUAAGUAGAAAUCUCUUAUUAGUUUCCAGAAGAGAGUAUGAUGGUGAAAUCAAAGCAUGUGGCAUCCAUGAUUUAUUGCGUGAAUUUUGCAUCAAACAAGGUACGGAAGAGUUUUUCCUCCAACGCUAUCAGCGAAUUUCGGGUUCAAUCACUUCUGGCCUAAGACCCCGCUCUUUAUUGUGCUUUAACUCUGGAUGUGCUGGAUCAUGGUAUCCUCGUUUCCUUUCUCUAAGCUUCAGGCUACUUAAAGUGUUGGAUAUAAGUUGCAUCCAGCUUUUCAAAUACCCCUGUGAGGUAGAAUUACUAGUUCUCUUGAGGUACUUGGCACUUGAGAUCCAUUUCACAGAAUACCCAGGUACCAGUCAGGCUCAGAAGUAUAUGUCAGAUUUCCUCCCACCCUCAAUAUUCAACCUCGUGAAUUUAGAAACUUUUAUUCUUCGCACAUCAUGUCCUUCGGUUGAGUUACCAUAUAGCCUUUGCAAAAUGUUAAAUUUGAGGCAUCUUUGUGUUAGUGGAGGAGGGAUAUACGACAUGCAAAGAUGCAUAAGCAACUUUUUAGUGGUUAAUCUACAAACUCUCUCAUGGCUAAAACUAGAUGACAGCUAACGCUUGGUCGACAUUCCAAAUCUCAAAAAGCUGGGACUUUGUGGAUCUAUGCCACAUUUAAAUUCCUUGAUGUUUCCUGAUCUACACUUCCUAAACCACCUCCAAGAGUUGAAGUUGUGGAUUGAAGGCAUAUUUACCUGGGGCACACAGAUUCUCGAAAGAACUAAGUUACCCCUUACUCUUAGAAAGCUUCCUUUGAAAAAUACAUGUCUAAAGUGGGAUGAGCUGUCAACACUCGGCAAGUCACUACCCAACCUUGAGGGUCUCAAAUUAUUAUAUAGAGCUUGUAGAGGUAAGCGUUGGGAAACAAGUGAUGGUGAGUUCCCUCGACUCAAAUUCUUAAAAUUAAGGUCCGUGGAACUUGAUCAAUGGGAAGUUUCGAGUAAUCAUUUUCCCAAACUCCAGCGAUUAGUGUUAAUUCAAUGUAAUGGGCUCAAGAAGAUCCCAUAUGAAAUGGGGGAUAUACCCACACUCCAGAUGAUUGAGGUACAUUGGUGCCACCCUUCUCUUGCCAAUUCUGCCAAGGAAAUUAAGGAAGAACAAGAAAGUAUGGGAAACAAUUUGCUGCAGAUGAUUGAGUCCAACAAUGUUGUGCUUUAAUUGAAGUGAGCUAAUGAUGAAUGUGGAUGAAGUGCUAAAGGCAAUCCCAAGCAACUGGAAUUGGUGGCUUAAUUGGUGAUGAACAAGCUGCUUGGAAGUUUAGAUUUCUGGGAAACAUAUUGAAAUUUUUGGCACCAGCAUUGAAGCAGAGCUCUGGGAAAUUUUGAGGGAUCUCACUAUUGUAAGGCACAAGAACCUUCAAAAUGUGAACAUGGAAACUCACUCUUGGGUAGGUGUGGCUCUAAAUUCUAAUUAUGGAACAUGGAAGCAACACCAAUCCCGUCAUAGGCAUCAUUAAAGAUUUGUAGAUUGCUCCUUAAUCGACUCAAUUGCACACUGAUUCAUGUGUUACGUGCUCUGUUAAAUGUUGAUCUUGUCGAGGUCAUGUACAUCAAACCCCAGUUUCUGUUUGCUUGUUUUGGUUGUUUUGUUCAAUUUCCCUUGUACCACAAAAAGAGAGUUUUCUUUCAA